CAAAUGCGAUAAGCAAUGCGAAUUGCAGAAUUCCGCGAGUCAUCAGAUCUUUGAACGCAAGUGGCGCUGGGAUAACCAAUACCCCAGCAUGUUUGUUUCAGGUAUUGAAUGCGAAAGCGCUGAAUCGUUCGGUGCCGACUGAAGUAGUCACUUCUCGCAAGUGAUCUCGGUUGGCUAAGCCGAAGAUUCACUACAGCGCUUUUUAAAUUAUAAUUUCUCCAUUCAAUACCUGAAAUCAAGCAAGAUCACCCACUGAACUUAA
rnacentral:misc_RNA from 1 species